UUUCUUGAAGCAGGAAUGGUCAUGAGGCAGGGAGAAUGAAUGCAGAGGCUAGGCAGAGGGUAUCCCCUGGGGGGAGUUAUUGGGGGGAAUGCUCAGGCACAAAAUGGUUUACAUAGAGUAAAUGUCUUCAAUCUUUCUAGGGUACUGUAUGGGCUGAGAAGUUUCUGCAGACCUCUCUUAGCAACUUCAAGCUGUUUGCAGUGAUUUUACCUUAUCUUACCUGUUAGUCAGCUUUUGCUACGGUAACAAACAUCUCCAAAUCCUAGCUGCUUGCAACAGCAAACGUGCACUUUCUUGCUCAGGACGCUGCAGGCUGGUAGUUGCAGCUCUGCUCCAGGUUGGGGGUUGAGUGCAGGUGUGCAUUGCAUGUCUCAUUCAGAGACCCAGGCAUGAGGGGUGGUGGCUCCCUGGGGUACACGUCCCAUGGCAGAUCCCAGGAGUGCAAGACACAAGGCCAAACCUCGUAAGCUCAUCAGAAGCCUGCACUCAAAUGUACCUUAUAGUGUGUCCACACACAUUCCAUUGACCAAAGCAAGUCAUAAAUAUAAUAGCAGCUCCACAUUAAUAGGCUUUUCCCAUGGAAAAGAGUUGAUUGAGUAGGGUGGGGAUUCUUGUGGAGGAGGGGGGACAGCUGUUGAACUUCAGUUCACCUGGGGGCCACCCUCACCCCACACAGCCUCUCCGGAGCAAGUUCUCAUUUGGAUGCCCGCUUGAGACUCCAGAUGCAAGUCAUCAUCCUGAGCCAUGGUUCCCUAAAUCCGCUUAGGGGAGAACAGAGAGGUUUAUUGAAUAUUGUGGGUUCAGGUGUUCUCUGCAUCACUGCAUCGAGAGAGUGCUUUUCCACGUUUGAUAAUCACCUUGUCGUGCACUGGACACAUGGGACGAGAGAUGAGAAGUUCUGAGAUAUGUGUCACAGAUAGGGAGUGAUCUUCACCGCAAACUCUAUGGCAGCCUUGAGAAGAACGAGGCUUGGCUAUUGCUUUUAACAAAAUCCUGGAUCAGUGCAGAAAUAGGUUUCCCGUGCUUUCGUGCCUUACAUGAGAGAGGCACCAAAAGGAAUUGGAAUAUGGUUGGGAAGGGGGCGUGCAUGCACCCCAGACUGACUUCUUCCUCCCCAGGUGGCCCAGUACAUAAAGUUUGAGAUGCCCGUCCUAAAAAGCUUCAUCCAGAAGCUCCAAGAGGAAGAAGAUCGGGAAGUGAAGAAGCUGAUGCGCAAGUACACAGUGCUCCGGCUAAUGAUCCGGCAGAGGCUGGAGGAGAUGGCCGAGACCCCAGCAACAAUCUGAGCCACAUGAGGGAGGGGAUCCAGACACCACAGGGGCCGCCGCUGACACGAGAAGACGCACAGGAAGCUGGGCACCUUCCUUCCAUGGAAACGUGUACAUAUAGACCUCUCCAGCUCCCGCCGAGAGCCACCAUCUAUUGCCCGGAGCAGAAUGGAGAAGGCCACAGACAACUCCCCAUCCCUGGAUCCCCAUGCUCCACUCCUUUCUUUUACUCACAAGGACUUUUAAAUUUUGUUAUGAGGACCCAAAAUGUGUGUGUGUGCACGCACAUGAGCACAUGCAUGCACAUGUAAGCGUGUGUGCUCACAUGGUACGUAUCCACGUGCCUACCUGAUAUUCACAUGGAACUGAAUUCCGAGCCACCAGCACCAGCACCAUGGGGCUUGCAGGUGCGCUGCUCGAGGGCAGGAACAUCAGGGGAGUCGCCAAUCUGAGGGGUUGAAGUUGAUGUCUUCCCUCAAGGGCCAGGGAGCAGCCACACGUUUGGAAGGGAAGGGGACUCCGCAAGCUCUCCAUUUGGGGUAUUUAUAUAUUGGUGGAGAUUCUCCCUGUACAUCUAGAAGGACUGGGCAUUGGAAAUUAACAAACUAGCAGCCCCAUGCCCUUGGGGAAGGUCAGAUGGAAAGAAAAAGAUAAACCAUCUGUGGGGUAGAUGCAAUAAGCCCACAAGUUUUUACACUGGAAACUCUGUUUAAAAUAACAAAGACGUAUGUGAUGAUCUA